rnacentral:rRNA from 1 species
AGAGUUUGAUCCUGGCUCAGGAUGAACGCUAGCGACAGGCUUAACACAUGCAAGUCGAGGGGCAGCACAGGUAGCAAUACCGGGUGGCGACCGGCGCACGGGUGAGUAACGCGUAUGCAACUUACCUAUCAGAGGGGGAUAACCCGGCGAAAGUCGGACUAAUACCGCAUGAAGCAGGGGCCCCGCAUGGGGAUAUUUGCUAAAGAUUCAUCGCUGAUAGAUAGGCAUGCGUUCCAUUAGGCAGUUGGCGGGGUAACGGCCCACCAAACCGACGAUGGAUAGGGGUUCUGAGAGGAAGGUCCCCCACAUUGGUACUGAGACACGGACCAAACUCCUACGGGAGGCAGCAGUGAGGAAUAUUGGUCAAUGGGCGUAAGCCUGAACCAGCCAAGUCGCGUGAGGGAUGAAGGUUCUAUGGAUCGUAAACCUCUUUUAUAAGGGAAUAAAGUGCGGGACGUGUCCCGUUUUGUAUGUACCUUAUGAAUAAGGAUCGGCUAACUCCGUGCCAGCAGCCGCGGUAAUACGGAGGAUCCGAGCGUUAUCCGGAUUUAUUGGGUUUAAAGGGUGCGUAGGCGGCCUUUUAAGUCAGCGGUGAAAGUCUGUGGCUCAACCAUAGAAUUGCCGUUGAAACUGGGGGGCUUGAGUAUGUUUGAGGCAGGCGGAAUGCGUGGUGUAGCGGUGAAAUGCUUAGAUAUCACGCAGAACCCCGAUUGCGAAGGCAGCCUGCCAAGCCAUGACUGACGCUGAUGCACGAAAGCGUGGGGAUCAAACAGGAUUAGAUACCCUGGUAGUCCACGCAGUAAACGAUGAUUACUAGGAGUUUGCGAUACAAUGUAAGCUCUACAGCGAAAGCGUUAAGUAAUCCACCUGGGGAGUACGCCGGCAACGGUGAAACUCAAAGGAAUUGACGGGGGCCCGCACAAGCGGAGGAACAUGUGGUUUAA